AUUGAACGCUGGCGGCAUGCCUUACACAUGCAAGUCGAACGGUAACGGGCCUUCGGGUGCCGACGAGUGGCGAACGGGUGCGUAAUACAUCGGAACGUGCCCGAUCGUGGGGGAUAACGAGGCGAAAGCUUUGCUAAUACCGCAUACGAUCUACGGAUGAAAGCAGGGGACCGCAAGGCCUUGCGCGGACGGAGCGGCCGAUGGCAGAUUGGGUAGUUGGUGGGAUAAAAGCUUACCAAGCCGACGAUCUGUAGCUGGUCUGAGAGGAUGAUCAGCCACACUGGGACUGAGACACGGCCCAGACUCCUACGGGAGGCAGCAGUGGGGAAUUUUGGACAAUGGGCGCAAGCCUGAUCCAGCCAUGCCGCGUGAAGGAUGAAGGCCUUCGGGUUGUAAACUGCUUUUGUACGGAACGAAAAGCCUUCUUUUAAUACAGGAGGGUCAUGACGGUACCGUAAGAAUAAGCACCGGCUAACUACGUG
rnacentral:rRNA from 1 species